rnacentral:rRNA from 1 species
UACGUAGGGGCAAGCGUUGUCCGGAUUUAUUGGGCGUAAAGCGCGUGUAGGCGGCCAGAUAGGUCUGCUGUGAAAACUCGAGGCUCAACCUCGAGCUGUCGGCGGAAACCAUCUGGCUAGAGUCCGGAAGAGGAGAGUGGAAUUCCUGGUGUAGCGGUGAAAUGCGCAGAUAUCAGGAAGAACACCUAUGGCGAAGGCAGCUCUCUGGGACGGUACUGACGCUGAGACGCGAAAGCGUGGGGAGCGAACAGG